UUUUGGACAAUGGGGGCAACCCUGAUCCAGCAAUGCCGCGUGCAGGAAGAAGGCCUUCGGGUUGUAAACUGCUUUUGUCAGGGAAGAAAUCCUGUGGGUUAAUACCUCGUGGGGAUGACGGUACCUGAAGAAUAAGCACCGGCUAACUACGUGCCAGCAGCCGCGGUAAUACGAAGGGGGCUAGCGUUGCUCGGAAUCACUGGGCGUAAAGGGUGCGUAGGCGGGUCUUUAAGUCAGAGGUGAAAUCCUGGAGCUCAACUCCAGAACUGCCUUUGAUACUGAGGAUCUUGAGUUCGGGAGAGGUGAGUGGAACUGCGAGUGUAGAGGUGAAAUUCGUAGAUAUUCGCAAGAACACCAGUGGCGAAGGCGGCUCACUGGCCCGAUACUGACGCUGAGCACGAAA
rnacentral:rRNA from 1 species